rnacentral:rRNA from 1 species
CAUGUCUUUUUGAUUAUAAUUUAAAGUCUGACCUGCCCAAUGAAUUUAAUUUGAAUGGCCGCGGUACUUUGACCGUGCAAAGGUAGCAUAAUAAUUAGUUUUUUAAUUGAGAACUGGUAUGAAAGGUUGGACGAGAAAAAUACUGUCUCAAUUUAAUUUAAAUUAGAAUUUUAUUUUUAAGUUAAAAAGCUUAAAUAAUUUUAAAAGACGAGAAGACCCUAUAGAGUUUUACAUUAUAUUUAAUAUUGAAUUUGAAGUAUAAUAAAGUUAGAUGAUAAAAUAUAGUGUUUUGUUGGGGUGACAGAAAAAUUGAAAGAACUUUUUUUUUAUUAAACCAUUAAUUUAUGAUUUGAUGAUCCAUAUUUUAUGAUUAUAAGAUUAAAUUACCUUAGGGAUAACAGCGUAAUUCUUUUCGAGAGUUCACAUCGAAAAAAGAGUUUGCGACC